rnacentral:rRNA from 1 species
AUUGAACGCUGGCGGCAGGCCUAACACAUGCAAGUCGAGCGGAUGACGGGAGCUUGCUCCUGGAUUCAGCGGCGGACGGGUGAGUAAUGCCUAGGAAUCUGCCUGGUAGUGGGGGACAACGUUUCGAAAGGAACGCUAAUACCGCAUACGUCCUACGGGAGAAAGCAGGGGACCUUCGGGCCUUGCGCUAUCAGAUGAGCCUAGGUCGGAUUAGCUAGUUGGUGAGGUAAUGGCUCACCAAGGCGACGAUCCGUAACUGGUCUGAGAGGAUGAGCAGUCACACUGGAACUGAGACACGGUCCAGACUCCUACGGGAGGCAGCAGUGGGGAAUAUUGGACAAUGGGCGAAAGCCUGAUCCAGCCAUGCCGCGUGUGUGAAGAAGGUCUUCGGAUUGUAAAGCACUUUAAGUUGGGAGGAAGGGCAGUAAGCGAAUACCUUGCUGUUUUGACGUUACCGACAGAAUAAGCACCGGCUAACUCUGUGCCAGCCGCCGCGGUAACAC